rnacentral:lncRNA from 1 species
GCUGGAGAGGGAGGCCUGCUCUAUGCUACUCCUCACCAAAAGAACUUGCUCGAUAGCAAUACAGGAAGUGCCACCAAAGUUCUUGACCAGAGGCCAUGUGUGGCUGGAAGCAUCUGCCUUUGGAGUGCAGAUGACUAGGAGACCACAACAGCCCUCAGGAGGGCCAAAGAUACCCUCCUGGGUGAAGAGUGGGGUUGAUGGUAUUCUUAUAGGAUAGAAGAGAUGUGAAUACAGACAGACAAAAGGACACAGACAGGGAUGGAGACAACGCAAAGUUGUCCAGUACGGUGUGUGCUUCUCAGCCCGAGUGUCCUGGAAAACUCAGAGAAGUGGGCUGUCGGAGGAAAGGUGAGGCAGGGAGGCUCUGAUCAAGCUAAGCAGAGCCUUUACUGUCAAGCUGACACAUUUCUGAUUCAUAUACUACUUUUUAUGUGUGAAUAAAUGAGUGACUAGAUGAUGUAAAAAUGAACAGUGGAUGAGCAAGAAGAAAGUUUGACUAAAUCUGUCCAAUCCAGUGAUGGCAGAGGCUGGGAAGAGUCUCCUUCCCAGGUGAGCUCUUUGCCUCAGUGCCACAGAGCCAAGAAGCCAUCUGUGAGCUGCAGUCAGAACGCUGGGAGAGGCAUGCCAGAGUUUCUGGGAGAAUGUCCACAGCCAUGUGAAGAUCUCUGCAUCUCUCUCUCACCGCCCAACAAAACAGUUUGGCCACUCAGGCUAAUAAGGUAACGUCUGAAGUUCCACAAUGGAGGCCUCAUCUCUUAGCCAGAAGCUGGAAUGACUGACAUCUGGUGCUGGGCCCUGUGACUGACAGGGCAUCUAGUGCUGGGUCCUGUGAUUGACAGGGCAUCCAGUGCUGGACACUGUGGCAAAGGGACAGGUUCCCUCAGGCCACUGGAGCCCACCUCAAGAGUCUCUUUGCCAGGGAAAUUCUCCAAUGAAGGUUUCUGGUUGUCCUUGAUGUAAGCUCACCGAUGGAUCUGGAGAGAAAUCUUCAUCCCUCUCUCCAGAAAUCAUCCCACCACUGAUGGCCUCAAGAAGCCCAGAUUCUGUAGAUGGGAGCAUUUGGAAGACUACAACCCCUCCUGGGCCAUCUGAAGAUUGCAUGGUUCUUCUGUGACUGGUAGGUUGUUCUCCAAGUCAGCCUUGUUGUUUUACCAAGAAGAUCUCCUCCCACUCAUGUAUCCUUCAGAGGAGGCAUAGUCUUCCUUCAACAAGCUAGGUUUACCAAUGUGCCAAGGCUUCCAGCCUCCAAGAUAUCCAGAUUGCUACCAGCACUCCAGUUUGCCUUGCUGCACACUCCAGCUGAACAGUUCUAUAUUCUUGACCCUUUUCUCAGUCUGUUCUGCCCUUCUGCUUCAGCUGUGAACAUCCCGUAACUAAUUACCCACAAGGUAGCAACACGAUAAUGUUCAUGCAGCCUUUAGAUCUGGGAAUCGAAGAGAACAUGGCAUAUGCUUGUCAAUGCUCUCAGAUUUCUGGGGCUUCGAUGGAAAUGACUUGAAUGGAAGGCAUUGGAGUCAUAUGGACACACACCUGGCAUGCGGGCUGGGUUAGCUCCAGAUGGGACAGAAUGUUCACAGCAUGAUAGCUUUCAGAUGGUUGCUUUUAUGGCUAGUCCUAGCAGUAUAAGGCAAAUGCUGCAAGAUCUUUUGAGAUUUCUCUUUGGAACUCAAUGUAUGGCUUGAUAUCUCCCUUACUCUGUUGGUUACGAUAGUCACAACCCUGCCCAGAAUCUUGGAGAGGUGGGGCAUAGACAUUGUUUCUUGAUGGGACAAUUGUUAGAGACCUUGGAGCCAUGUUUUAAAACUGUCCCAUUUUAAAUUU